CCCUUUUGGGGCUGCCUUACCCUCUGCAUCUGUGUAUCGCGGCCGCGUACGAGCCUGUACGCCUGCGCGCGCUUCGAGCCGCACAUACACAAGCAGCCGKCGGCGCUGUGCCCAGGUCUCCAGUGCCCCCCCGCGCCCGGCCCGCACGCUCACCUCUCUGUCCUGUCUCUGCUCGCAUCACGUCUCCGUCCCACUCGCCGCGGCUCCUUACCGUCGGCGGCCAGGCCCUCGCCUGCCUCCAAUCACUGCCAGACCAUUCCCCCGCAAUGCCCCUUCGUCCGGGCGCGCUCAUAGCCUCGACUUCCGCUGCAUCUGGCGUGAUA
rnacentral:misc_RNA from 1 species